GACGUAGGUGGCGAACGUUAUCCGGAAUCAUUGGGCGUAAAGGGUGCGUAGAUGGCCUGAUAAGUUAGCAGUGGGAAAUCGAGGCUCAACCUCGUGGAAGCUGGUAAUACUGUUAGGCUCGAGUGCAGGAGAAGUUAACGGAACCCAUGUGGAGCGGUAAAAUGUGUAGAUAUAUGGAAGAACAUCAAUAACGGCGAAGGCAGUUAACUAUUCUGUUACUGACGUUGAGGCACGAAAGCGUGGGGAGCAAAACGG
rnacentral:rRNA from 1 species